GAAAGCCGGAGAGCAGCACAGGCGGAGAGAGAGAGAGAGAGAGAGAGAGAGAGAGAGACGAGGGAUGAGGGAUGGAUGGACCGAUGUUCCAGCGCCUGAAGACGACGGACUGACAGGAUGAGUGUAGACUGUUAAGUGAGCUUAGAUAAAGCGAACUGAGGUGCUCUGUUUUUGUCACGAAUAACCCGAGUUGGAAAUAAACUGGCAGCGUCUGCACGCUGGAUCUGUAAAAAAAAGGCUCGAAAAAGCUCCGGAGAGGGAAAGGAUGCUGACGGUGAUAAUGAUGAUGAUGAUGAUGAUGAAGGUGGUGGCGGUGGUGUUUUUUUGCCUGUCUGUGUUGAUUAAGAGUUGAACAGCGUUGAAAUCUUCACCGUCUCAAACACGGAGCCUCGAAAUGUGCCGCCUGAACGCCUCUCAGCUCAGUCUCGGUCUGUCUCGGUCUGUCCAUGACACAGAAGAGCGCGGAGGACAUCAUAAAAAAAUACAAAAAAAGUGUCUUAAAGAAGUUUGGAGGAUGGAUGGAGGGUCCUUGAGCCCACGUGCACAGCUCAGCCCAUCUCUCCUGCAUGUGUUAACCUCUGCUGUGUUGGUCAGGUGUGUGCGCGAGCUGCUGGACGCUGAGAGCAUUGUGAAGGGAGGCUGCUGCUGUCUUUGGUUAUCUAGCUGUAUGAGUGUUUACGUGCCAUCAUAAAGCUAGAUAACCGAAAGUAGGAACGGCCUCCUCUGCUGCAGGACAGAGGCGCGUGCGCGGGACGCUCUGGAAGCUCCAUCCUGACCGCAGUGUCUUUGCGAGAGACCAGAGGACCGUGCAGCGGAACAAUACCAUCCACCCCCUCCCCUCCCACCAUCAACGGAAGCGUUUAGUGCCAUGUGUGCCCCCAGAGAGGGGACCGGGAAGGAAAAAAAAACGACAAGCAAGAGGCUGCAGCUUGUGUGCCAGUGGGGACAAAGAGGCUGCUGCCAGUUGCCACGGACCACCCCCUCCUACCCCCUACUCCCCCCAGAUGCUGAAGAUUGGAGCCCAGAACGAGGGGUUUGUGUGUGAGGAAGCCAUCUUGAUGGAGAAGCUGGCUGCCUGCUUCCUAAAAUGGCUGUGUUGGCAUGAGGAUGAUGACCCCCCCAUCUGAUUGGUUGUCCAUGACAUCAUCUUCCACAGUUUUAACUUUGGAGACCAAUGGAUUGACCACUAAAACCUGAUAUCUGAUGACUCAUCCUGGCUAACACAUAAUGGACAAUCAAAUCAAUUUGCACAAUUUAGAGGAUUCGCAUAAAAAUCUAAAAAAAUUAAAGUCCUUGUACUUAAAUGGAAUGAGACUCUGUAUAAAACAGUAUAUGUAAUAUUUGUAUACUGCAUAUUGUUUUAACAAAGGCCAAGUGUUUUAAGGUCUUUUCAGACUGUGCAGAAUCCUGAUGAUGAGAAUGUGCCUUAAUGUGUGAACUGUUUACAAUGAAAGAGUAGAGUGCAUCUAUUAAUAGACAAUACUGUACAGUGUUAAUGAAUGUGCAAGUCAUUUCUGUUCCGCUGUUUUAAAUGUGCUUUUAAUGUCUCUGUGACUAAAUGAAAUCUACGCCCUUCCAUGAUGAACAUUAUAUCCAUUAAAACUCGUCCUUCCACUGAGAGAUAUCUCACUCCUACAGGAAAUGGUGCUCUUUGCUUAAUAAUCAGGUUAUUAUUCUGGCACAUGUGUUAAAUACUGAAACAAGGAGCUGAAACUUCUCCAGGCCUUCUGUUCAGCAACGUGAUUCAUUCUUUGUACUUUACUCAUCCAUGUAUGAAAUGGAAUCAAUAAACUUGUGCAAUAUGAAAUUGA